GAUGAACGCUGCCCGCACGCCUAAUACAUGCAAGUCGAGCGAACCGGCGAGGAGCUUGCUCCUCUGACGUUAGCGCCCGACGGGUGCGUUACACCUGGAUAACCUACCUAUAACGCUGGGAUCACUUCGUCAAACCCGAGCUAAUACCUGAUAAUAUAUUCAACCGCUUUCUUCAAUCUUGGAACACGAUUUUGCUUUCCCUUCUAGAUAGCUCCGCGCCGCCUUAGCUAGUUUUUAAGAUAACGGGUUACCAAGGCGACGAUGCGUCGCCGACCUGAGAGGGUGAACGGCAAACCUGGAACGGAGACACGGUCCAGACGCCUACGGGAGGCAGCAGUAGGGAGUCUUCCGCAAUGGGCGAAAGCUUGACGGAGCAACGCCGCGUGAGUGAUGAAGGUCUUCGGAUCGUAAAACUCUGUUAUUAGGGAAGAACAAAUGUGUAAGUAACUAUGCACGUCUUGACGGUACCUAAUCAGAAAGCCACGGCUAACUACGUG
rnacentral:rRNA from 1 species